rnacentral:rRNA from 1 species
UACGGAGGGUGCGAGCGUUGUCCGGAAUCAUUGGGCGUAAAGGGCGCGUAGGUGGCGGGACAAGCGUGCGGUGAAAGCCUGGGGCUCAACCCCGGGUCGGCCGUGCGAACUGUUUUGCUUGAGCACUGUAGAGGCAGGCGGAAUUCCGGGUGUAGCGGUGGAAUGCGUAGAGAUCCGGAAGAACACCGGUGGCGAAGGCGGCAUCCUGGACCGGUAUUGACGCUGAGGCGCGAAAGCUAGGGGAGCAAACGGGG